UGCAAGUCGAACGAUGAAGUUCCUUCGGGAACGGAUUAGUGGCGAACGGGUGAGGAACACGUGAGAAACCUGCCUUUUCAUUCUGGGAUAACACCGGGAAACCGGCGCUAAUACCGGAUACUCCAUCUUGGCGGCAUCGCCGAGCUGGGAAAAAAUUUUGAUGAAAGAUGGUCUCGCGGGCCUAUCAGCUAGUUGGUGAGGUAAAGGCUCACCAAGGGCGACGACGGGGUAGCCGGCCUGAGAGGGCGACCGGCCACACUGGGGACUGAGACACGGGCCCAGACUCC
rnacentral:rRNA from 1 species